ensembl:lncRNA
GUAAAAGUCUUAGUGUUGUCUUUCACCCUGAAAAAGAAGCUCGUGUAAUUUACAUAAAGAACCGGUAAAUUAAUCUUUUCACUGAGGUGACGUGUUUCAUUGACGCCCACUUGCUUCACGUAGCCGAUUCACGUGACAUCAUUGCACGUCAUUCAUCAACUGUCACUUUGUAUCGUGAAGAUUAGAAAUAAAUGAUCUGCACCGGACGAGACCGUGAGUCGCUGGCUGGCCUGGUUGCGUUAAAGAAAAUGAGCAAAACAUGGGUUCUGGUGGAAUGGAGGGAGGAGCCUCCCACCUAUGAUAUUGUCCCUAAAAAGGACAUACUAAAAAAAAAGUUUGAACCUGGAGAUGUUGUGGAUGUGGCUUAUGAAGAGGAAAGUUCCCCAGCCACAGUUAUAGAUAUUGAUGAGAGCAAAGAUACCCUCAGGAGGAGGAUGUUUAGGCUAGAGGGGAAAAGAAAAAAUCAGCCAUGUUUGCAAAAUGAUGCAAAAAGAGUAGCAAAGAAAAAAAAAACGUACACUCCAACUCAUUCCCCAUCUCACUCCAAAACGUCCUCAUCAUCUGAUCAAGAGCCUCCAGUCAAACAUCAAGUCAUCCACCGAAAGGACAGUAUGUUAAUGCAAGAGAUUAACAGCAUGGAGAGUCAAGCUGGAGAGCAUUCAAGCCGAGAAACUCAACUUGAGAGAGAAAUUCUCAAAUUAAAAAAAGAAAAUGAGAAUCUAAGAGCACUUAAUAUAGCUCUGCAACAAGAAAUUCUUCCAAUGCUCAAGUGCAGCAUGAACCAGGACACUCUUGUUGCUCAACAACCACAAGAUUCAAGUCAGAAGAAUCCCCCUGAAAAGACACAGGGGCUAGGAAUUAGUUCAGCUGUCCUGACAAGUUGUGGACGGGGGGGCACAUCAUGUUCUGCCAGGGUGAAAGAUCUGGCAGUGGCAGUGUUUGGGAGAGAGACACUGGCCACACAUGGGCUGUCUGGAAGGGCUGGCAAUGCUAACACAGGCGCUAUGGCAAAGCCAGCUUUUGACCAGGACAAAGUUGUGCUGAUCCUAGACACAGUACAAAAAAAGUUCCCUGAUGUUCCAAAAAAGUUCAUCAGGGCAGCACUAAGAGAAAAGUUAAAUGAUGAGCACAAGUUACGAGUAAGGUAAUAAUUUGUCAUACACACAACACACUCGCUCAUGCUCUCUCUCUCUCUCUCUCUCACACCUCAUACACCCUCAUGCUCUCUCACACACAAACACAUACUCAUGCUCUCCCUCUCUCUCUCUCUCUCUCUCACACACACACACACACACACACGUUAAUGAUCUCUCUUUCUCUAUCUCUCACACACACACACACACACACACACACACACAAACACGCUCAUGCUCUCUCUCUCUCUCUCUCUCUCACACACACACACACACACAAACAAAUUUUUAAAUUUCUCUUUUUUUCUUGUUUUUCAGGAAAACAGUGUAGAGGCUUCAUUUGGCUGUGAAUUGGUCUCUGCUUCGCUCUGCUCUUACAGUUUCAAUAAAUACAAUAAAUAAUUUGUGAAAAUACAUUGUUUGUUGUGAAGUUAUUCCCCCUGCAUUAAUCCUACAGAAGACAUAAGAAGACCUGUAUAAUUGCAUAUAUAUCCACAACAGUCCUGCAGGAACUUUGAAUAUUAUAUUUUAAAACCCUGCAGGGAUAUAAUUCCUGCAGGUAUUCCUUCAUAAAAUUCCUGCAGGUAUUCCUUCAGGAAAAUGAGCUGAAAAUCCUGUAGGAAAUCUGCAUAAUAUUCC